AUUGAACGCUGGCGGUAUGCUUAACACAUGCAAGUCGAACGGCAGCAUGGUCUAGCUUGCUAGACUGAUGGCGAGUGGCGGACGGGUGAGUAACGCGUAGGAAUAUGCCUUGAAGAGUGGGACAACUUGGGGAAACUCAAGCUAAUACCGCAUGUACUCGAGAGAGUAAAGCUGGGGACCUUUAGGCCUGGCGCUUUAAGAUUAGACUGCGUCCGAGUAGCUAGUUGGUAGGGUAAAGGCCUACCAAGGCGACGAUCGGUAGCUGGUCUGAGAGGGGGAUCAGCCACACUGGAACUGAGAGGCGGUCCAGACUCCUACGGGAGGCAGCAGUGGGGAAUAUUGGACAAUGGGGGGAACCCUGAUCCAGCAAUGCCGCGUGUGUGAAGAAGGCCUGAGGGUUGUAAAGCACUUUCAGUGGGGAGGAGGUUUGGAAGGUUAAGAGCUAUUCAAAUGGACGUUACCCACAGAAGAAGCACCGGCUAACCCCGUGCCAGCAGCCGCCGUAA
rnacentral:rRNA from 1 species